UACGGGGGGGGCAAGCGUUGUUCGGAAUUACUGGGCGUAAAGGGUGCGUAGGCGGCUUUCUAAGUUGGAUGUGAAAACUAUGGGCUCAACCCAUAGCCUGCAUCCAAAACUGGAGAGCUUGGGUUCUGGAGGGGAAAGCGGAAUUCCUGGUGUAGCGGUGAAAUGCGUAGAUAUCAGGAGGAACACCGGUGGCGAAGGCGGCUUUCUGGACAGACACCGACGCUGAGGCACGAAAGCUAGGGGAGCAAACAGG
rnacentral:rRNA from 1 species